CAGUAGCCGCGGUAAUACAGAGGGUGCGAGCGUUAAUCGGAUUUACUGGGCGUAAAGCGUGCGUAGGCGGCCUUUUAAGUCGGAUGUGAAAUCCCUGAGCUUAACUUAGGAAUUGCAUUCGAUACUGGGAAGCUAGAGUAUGGGAGAGGAUGGUAGAAUUCCAGGUGUAGCGGUGAAAUGCGUAGAGAUCUGGAGGAAUACCGAUGGCGAAGGCAGCCAUCUGGCCUAAUACUGACGCUGAGGUACGAAAGCAUGGGGAGCAAACAGGAUUAGAUACCCGUGUAGUCCCUGUCUCUUAUAC
rnacentral:rRNA from 1 species